UACAGGGGGUGCAAACGUUGCUCGGAAUCAUUGGGCGUAAAGCGCACGUAGGCGGUUCGUUAUGUCGGAUGUGAAAGCCCUUGGCUUAACCGAGGAAGUGCAUCCGAAACUGGCGAGCUAGAGUACGAAAGAGGAUCGCGGAAUUCCCGGUGUAGAGGUGAAAUGCGCAGAUAUCAGGAGGAACACCGGUGGCGAAGGCGGGUCUCUGGGCAACAACUGACGCUGAGGAGCGAAAGCGUGGGGAGCGAACAGG
rnacentral:rRNA from 1 species